rnacentral:tRNA from 1 species
GGGUAGGUGGCACAGUGGCGACUGCACCUGACUGUAAAUCAGGUACAUUAGAAACAUCAGAGGUUCGAAUCCUCUUCUGCCCA